UAUGUACUCCCUCCGUCCGAAAAUACUUGUCGGAGGAAUGGAUGUAUCUAGACGUAUUUUAGUUCUAGAUACAUCCAUUUUUAUGCAUUUCUUCGACAAGUAUUUCCGGACGGAGGGAGUAUCUU
rnacentral:pre_miRNA from 1 species